GACGAACCGUGCGAACGUUGUUCGGAAUCACUGGGCUUAAAGGGCGCGUAGGCGGGCCACCAAGUCUGGGGUGAAAUCUUUCGGCUUAACCGGAAAAUUGCCUGGGAUACUGGUGGUCUGGAGGGUGGUAGGGGCAGGUGGAACUUCCGGUGGAGCGGUGAAAUGCGUUGAUAUCGGAAGGAACACCAAUGGCGAAGGCAGCUCGCUGGGACGUGACUGACGCUGAGACGCGAAAGCGUGGGGAGCAAACAGG
rnacentral:rRNA from 1 species